AUGAAUAGAAGAAGAAAAUUUCUUCUUGCCUCAGUUCUUGCUCUCCAGAAUUCUAGUUUUAUAUAUCCUUCAUGUCAAAAGUGCUUUUCUCGGAUAAUCCUGGUCUCCAAAAGAAUUUUGAAAACCAGCAUGGAAGUGGUUCAGGUUCCAGUAACUUCUCAGAGCAGUGCUCAGACCGCAAGAGAGUUAAAGCACUCG
rnacentral:lncRNA from 1 species